rnacentral:lncRNA from 1 species
AGGAGCAGUUAUCACUAUAGGGAUGGGGCGGAGUGAAGACUCCUAUACAUAUAUAAAACAUAUACUCUCUGACCAACCAAUUAGCUUAUUAUUACCAUAUUGAACCUCCUUCAAAGGAUCUUCUAUCAUAGAGGUUGGGUUUUCACUACUGGAAGGCUCAUUAUAGGCUAAGUCCUAUCUCCCUCGAUGACUCUAGGACCUUGUCCUAUUAAGGUCUUUAGUAAG